UAGAAGUUCAUCGGGUGAUUU
ensembl:piRNA 21ur-2129 ncRNA